rnacentral:rRNA from 1 species
AGUGAACGCUGGCGGUAGGCCUAACACAUGCAAGUCGAACGGCAGCACAGUAAGAGCUUGCUCUUACGGGUGGCGAGUGGCGGACGGGUGAGGAAUACAUCGGAAUCUACUUUUUCGUGGGGGAUAACGUAGGGAAACUUACGCUAAUACCGCAUACGACCUACGGGUGAAAGCAGGGGAUCUUCGGACCUUGCGCGAUUGAAUGCGCCGAUGUCGGAUUAGCUAGUUGGCGGGGUAAAGGCCCACCAAGGCGACGAUCCGUAGCUGGUCUGAGAGGAUGAUCAGCCACACUGGAACGGAAACACGUUCCAGACUCCUACGGGGGGAAGCAGUGGGGAAUAUUGGACAAUGGGCGCAAGCCUGAUCCAGCCAUACCGCGUGGGUGAAGAAGGCCUUCGGGUUGUAAAGCCCUUUUGUUGGGAAAGAAAAGCAGCAGGUUAAUACCCCGCUGUUCUGACGGUACCCAAAGAAUAAGCACCGGCUAACUUCGUG